GACAUCAUAGCCAAGUGGUUACGGCGACAGAUUAGAAUGUGCCUAUAGGUUGGACCUUUGGUAUCUGUUUCCCUUUGGGAGCGCAGGUUCGAAUCCUGCUGGUGUCG